ACAUAAAAGGUUUGGUCCUGGCCUUUUCAUUAGUUUUUAGUAAACUUACACAUGCAAGCCUCCCCAUACCAGUGAGAAUACCCUUAAGUAUCUAAAAUGAUUGUAAGGAGUAGGUAUCAAGCACACUAGCGUUGCUCAAGACACCUUGCUUAGCCACACCCCCACGGGAAACAGCAGUGAUAAAAAUUAGGCAAUGAACGAAAGUUUGACCUAGUUAUACUAUUCAGGGUUGGUCAAUUUCGUGCCAGCCACCGCGGUCAUACGAUUAACCCACAUUAAUGAAUUCACGGCGUAAAGCGUGUUUAGAGAACCCCCCCCCCCCCCCCCAAUAAGGCUAAACUCCGACUAAUAUGUAGAAAUUCAUAGUCUGAAGUAAAAUAAACUACAAAAGUGGUCUUAAAAUUCUUGAAGACACGAUAGCUAGGGGACAAACUGGGAUUAGAUACCCCAUUAUGCCUAGCCCUAAACAGAGAUAGCCAACUAAUAAGGCUACCCGCCAGAGAACUACUAGCAACUGCUUAAAACUCAAAGGACUUGGCGGUACUUUAUAUCCACCUAGAGGAGCCUGUUCUAUAACCGAUACACCCCGUUCUACCUCACCACUUCUUGCUAAUUCAGCCUGUAUACCGCCAUCUUCAGCGAACCCUUAUAGGGAAAAAAAAGUAAGCUCAAUAAUUACCCAUAAAAACGUUAGGUCAAGGUGUAGCUUAUGAAGUGGAAAGCAAUGGGCUACAUUUUCUCUCUCGAGAACAUAACGAUACCCUUCUUGAAACAGAAGGAAUAAGGAGGAUUUAGUAGUAAAUUAAGAGUAGAGUGCUUAAUUGAAUAGUGCAAUGAAGUACGCACACACCGCCCGUCACCCUCCUCAAAUACUCUUUCGAAAAUCUUUCCCUAAUCUUAUGAAAACCUGUAUGAGAGGAGAUAAGUCGUAACAUGGUAAGCAUACUGGAAAGUGUGCUUGGAUGAAU
rnacentral:ncRNA from 1 species